UACGGGGGGGGCAAGCGUUGUUCGGAAUUACUGGGCGUAAAGGGCUCGUAGGCGGCCAACUAAGUCAGACGUGAAAUCCCCAGGCUUAACCUGGGAACUGCGUCUGAUACUGGAUGGCUUGAAUUCGGGAGAGGGAUGCAGAAUUCCAGGUGUAGCGGUGAAAUGCGUAGAUAUCAGGAGGAACACCGGUGGCGAAGGCGGAUCUCUGGGCCUUACCUGACGCUGAGGCGCGAAAGCUAGGGGAGCAAACAGG
rnacentral:rRNA from 1 species